GACGAACGCUGGCGGCGUGCUUAACACAUGCAAGUCGAACGGAAAGGCCCUGCUUUUGUGGGGUGCUCGAGUGGCGAACGGGUGAGUAACACGUGAGUAACCUGCCCUUGACUUUGGGAUAACUUCAGGAAACUGGGGCUAAUACCGGAUAGGAGCUCCUGCUGCAUGGUGGGGGUUGGAAAGUUUCGGCGGUUGGGGAUGGACUCGCGGCUUAUCAGCUUGUUGGUGGGGUAGUGGCUUACCAAGGCUUUGACGGGUAGCCGGCCUGAGAGGGUGACCGGCCACCUUGGGACUGAGAUACGGCCCAGACUCCUACGGGAGGCAGCAGUGGGGAAUAUUGCACAAUGGGCGGAAGCCUGAUGCAGCACCGCCGCGUGCGGGAUGACGGCCUUCGGGUUGUAAACCGCUUUCGCCUGUGACGAAGCGUGAGUGACGGUAAUGGGUAAAGAAGCACCGGCUAACUACGUG
rnacentral:rRNA from 1 species